GAUGAAGAACGUAGCGAAACGCGAUAAGUAAUGUGAAUUGCAGAAUCCAGUGAAUCAUCGAAUCUUUGAACGCACAUUGCGCCCGCCAGCAUUCUGGCGGGCAUGCCUGUUCGAGCGUCAUUUAACCCUCGACCUCCCCUUGGGGAGGUCGGCGUUGGGGACCGGCAGCACACCGCCGGCCCUGAAAUGGAGUGGCGGCCCGUCCGCGGCGACCUCUGCGCAGUAAUACAGCUCGCACCGGGACCCCGACGCGGCCACGCCGUAAAACACCCAACUUCUGAACGUUGACCUCGAAUCAGGUAGGACUACCCGCUGAACUUAAGCAUAUCAAUAAGCGGAGGA
rnacentral:misc_RNA from 1 species